rnacentral:lncRNA from 1 species
CCCAGUCGAGCCUAGCCGAGCCCAGCCGAGCCCUGCCUAGCGCAGCCGAGCCCAGCUCAGUAGAGCCGAGCCCAGUUGAGCCCAGCCGAGCAUAGCCCAGCCUACUCGAGCCCAGCCCAGUCGUGCGGACGCCAGCCGAGCGCAGUCAAGCACAGUCGAGCCCAGCCCUGUCGAACCGUGCCCACCUCAAUCCAGCCCAGUCGAGCCUAGCCGAGCCCAGCCCAAUCGAGCCUAGCCCUGUCGAGUCCAGCCCUGUGAGCCCAUCCCAGCCGAGCCCAGUUGAGCGCAGCUGAGCCCAGCCUUGUCGAGCCGCGCCCACAUCAAUCCAGCCCAGCCAAGCCCAGCAGAGCCCAGCCCAGUAGAGCUCAGCCUAGCCCAGCUGAGUCCAGCCCUGUCGAGCGGAGCCCAGCUGAGUCCAGCCCAGCCCAGCCCAGCCCACUCUAGCCCAGCCAAGCCCAGCCCAGCCCACUCUAGCCCAGCCAAGCCCAGUCAAGCUGAGCCCAGCCCAGUCAAGCCAAGCCCAGCUGAGCCCAGCCCAGCACAAUUGAGUCCAGCCCAGCCGAUCCCAGUCGAGCAGAGCCCAGCACAGUUGAGCCAAGCCCAGACGAGAACAGUUCAGCCCAGCACAGUCCAACCCAGCUCAGCCGAGCCCAGCCCAGAUGAGCCCAGCCGAGCCUAGCCGAGCCCAGUACAGUCCAGCCCAGCUCAGUCCAGCCCAGCUCAGCCCAGCCGACCCCAGCACAGUCAAACCCAGCCCUGUCAAGCCGAGCCCAGCUCAGUCCAGCCCAGUGGAGCCCAGCCCAGAACUCAGCCGAGCCCAGCUUAGUCGAGCCCACCACAGCCCAGCCCGGCCCAGCACAGUUGAGCCCAGCACAGCCGAGCGCAGCCCACUACAACGCAGCCCAGCCCAGUCGGGCCCAGCACAGCCCAGCCGAGCCCAGUCAAGCCGAGCCCAGCCCACUCGAGCCCAGCAGAGCCCAGCUCAGUCGAGCCGAGCUCAGCACAGCCAAGCCCAGCAGUCAAACCCAGCCGAGCCCAGUCCAGUACAGCGCACGGAGCCCAGCCGAGCCCUGCCCAGCGCAGUGGAGCCCAGCAGAACCCAGGGAAGCCGAGCCCAGCCGAGCCCAGUCGAGCCCAGCCGAGCCCAGCCGAGCCCAGCCCAGUCCAGCCCAACCCAGUCGAGCCGAGCCCACCUCAAUCCAGCCCAGUCGAGCCCAGCCGAGCCCAGCCCAGUCGAGCCUAGCCCAGUCGAGCCCACCCCAGUCCUGCCGAGCCCAGUCGAGCGCAGCUGAGCCCAGCCUUGUCGAGCCGAGCCCACCGCAAUCCAGGCCAGCCAAGCCCGGCCCAGCCGAGCCCAGCCGAGCCCAGCCGAGCCCAGCCGAGCCCAGCCGAGCCCAGCCGAGCCCAGCCGAGCCCAGCCGAGCCCAGGGGCGGGAGGGGAGGGAACUGGACGCGACAGGCGCAGAAGCGCGCGUCUGGUCCCGUCCAGGCCGUCCCGUUCCGUGGGGUCCCAGGCUUUUGGGUGAAAAGCAAAAGCGCCUGCAGACGUCACCCCACACCUGCAGGCAUCACCCCAGCAGGGCCGCGGGGAGGGCCGCACCCUGCAGCUGCUUCCAGGCCAGUCACGGCCACGGCCACGGCAGAGAGCGCC